rnacentral:tRNA from 1 species
GGCCGGGUGGUGGAAUGGUAUACACGAGGGACUUAAAAUCCCUUGCCUGCAAAGGCUUGAGGGUUCGAAUCCCUCCCCGGCUA